UGACACAGAGCUCGGGCUGCCAAAUAGCCCUGCUGCUGCUGCUGCUCUUGCUUCUAAUGCAUGGAGGGGAGCAUCGCUUUAUAUAUAUAUAUAUCAGCAGCCAAUGGACUUUGCAUUCGGCCAAAUAAAUCUUAUAGGACACAAAUGGCAGGGAAAGCUCUCUAAGAACAGCAGCACCAAGGCUUCCCCUUAUAUAUUAGUAUUUAUAAGUGGUCAUAGCUAUAUUAUACAUGCAAUGGGGAACAUAUAAAUGUACAUGUAUUGUACUGCACUCAUCAUACAUUUGCACACAGCUUCCCACGCCACAGGGCAGAUCAUGUUUCCACUUCAGCCACUGCUUGGAAUAUAGAGGCUAAAACAAGACUCUGGGGAGGAACAAAGCCUGCUCUGGACAUUCUCCUGCUGCAGGGAUAUCCACUGACAACCCCCUGAACUAAACACUAAGGAGAAGCAGGAGCGCAGAAUGAAGAAGGAUCGCUGGUGUUGGAGAAAUUAGCAGGCUGUACAAGCCAGAAAGCUACACGCAGUAAAUCGCUGGCUGCUGGUGGAACAUACACGUGGGGAGAACCAGCCUGAGCGUUUGUGGUCACUCUUCUUGGCACCGUCGCACUCCGGUGCUGCCCAAAUUACAUCACUUUCUCAGCCAAAAAAACGGAGGGUGUGAAGGGUAAGUGACAGAGCCUGACCCCAGCGCACACACAGACCUGUCAGAGUUUGUUGUACUCUGUGCUGAGUCCUGCCAAGAAAAUGGGAUAUUAAAAAUAAAAACAAAUAAUAAUUUACACGUUUGCCUUCAAUCAAUGCCAAUGUAAUAUGCGCAGCCUGGAAAUGUCAAGUGGUCUGGAACUGCAAGUGAAGAAGAAGGAGAAGAGCUAGCACUCUAGAGUUCAUAUCAUGAGUCCUCACUCUUCUGUUUCGGGGCAGUUGAACAAUUGAGGCCAAGCGAAAAGAACAAGGACAAUGGAUAAAGAACAUGGAGCUCAUGGUUUUGCGCAAUAACGCAAACUUCGCACAGACACAAACGCGCAAAAGUCGAAUUCUAAAUGAUCUAAUAGCUGUUUAUUUGGGUUAUUAUAUUGCUGUAAAAACCACAAACUCUACGGUAUAGUGUCUGGCACUCUUAGGGUUAACUUACAUUCUUUAAUAAAAAAAAAUUACAUUUUCAUUUCCCAUUUACAUCAAAUCAUCUUAAUCAUCCAGGAACUUUUUCUCAUAUUAACACGACCACCAGGCUUGCUCCAUGCAAAUGACUUUUUUUUCAGGGGAAAGUCAGAACUACAUUACCCUGUUCUUCCAUCUUUGCCCUCUCUUGGGGGAUGGGGGGAGUCUUUUUUAAAUGAACCGUUUUAAUGAGGUGCCCAGGUAUGGCCUCAAUAGUUUUCUAUGGGGGGGGGGGUUGCUAAGAUAUGUCUUAAAACCAGAGUGGAAAUUACAAUUAACUAGUAUUUUUUUCUGAAAAAUGCAAUUUUACAGAGUAUUAAACUAUAUUAUGGGUACAGUGUGAUCUGCUUCUUGUAUGUAUUGUGAUAGAUAGAUAGAUAGAUAGAUAGAUAGAUAGAUAGAUAGAUAGAUAGAUAGAUAGAUAGAUAGAUAG